rnacentral:rRNA from 1 species
UCUUAGUGGCGGACGGGUGAGUAACGCGUGGGGAACCUGCCCUGUACAGGGGGAUAACAUCGAGAAAUUGGUACUAAUACCCCAUAACAUCACCGGAGGCAUCUUCGGUGGUUGAAAACUCAGGUGGUCAGAGAUGGACAUGCGUUGUAUUAGCUAGUUGGUGAGGUAACGGCUCACCAAGGCGACGAUACAUAGGGGGACUGAGAGGUCAACCCCCCACAUUGGUACUGAGACACGGACCAAACUCCUACGGAAGGCAGCAG